UACGGAGGAUGCGAGCGUUAUCCGGAUUUAUUGGGUUUAAAGGGUGCGUAGGCGGCUUAGUAAGUCAGCGGUGAAAUUUUGCAGCUUAACUGUAACAGUGCCGUUGAUACUGCCAGGCUAGGAUUUGGUUGCUGUGGGUGGAAUGUGUGGUGUAGCGGUGAAAUGCUUAGAUAUCACACAGAAUAUCGAUUGCGAAGGCAGCUCACAAAGCCAAGAUUGACGCUGAGGUGCGAAGGUGCGGGGAGGCAAACA
rnacentral:rRNA from 1 species